GAUGCCUAACACAUGCAAGUCGAGCGGUAGAGAGAAGCUUGCUUCUCUUGAGAGCGGCGGACGGGUGAGUAAUGCCUAGGAAUCUGCCUGGUAGUGGGGGAUAACGUUCGGAAACGGACGCUAAUACCGCAUACGUCCUACGGGAGAAAGCAGGGGACCUUCGGGCCUUGCGCUAUCAGAUGAGCCUAGGUCGGAUUAGCUAGUUGGUGGGGUAAUGGCUCACCAAGGCGACGAUCCGUAACUGGUCUGAGAGGAUGAUCAGUCACACUGGAACUGAGACACGGUCCAGACUCCUACGGGAGGCAGCAGUGGGGAAUAUUGGACAAUGGGCGAAAGCCUGAUCCAGCCAUGCCGCGUGUGUGAAGAAGGUCUUCGGAUUGUAAAGCACUUUAAGUUGGGAGGAAGGGCAGUUACUUAAUACGUAAUUGUUUUGACGUUACCGACAGAAUAAGCACCGGCUAACUCUGUGCCAGCAGCCGCGGUAAUACA
rnacentral:rRNA from 1 species